CAGAGAUUUUAUAGGCAUAUCAUCAGGCGUAUGAUUAAACGACUAUAACGAACAGGUGCUAAUGAUCAUAACUUUAAUAUGUCACAGCAUUUAAGACAAUCGCAGAUGUAAAUUUAAAGGUUUACAAGUAGGACAAGACAUUUAAAUCCUCUGUAAUUCAAUUAAUUUAUGAGGUGUAGCCUCACAUGGUCUUCUGCAGCUGCUGUCUGUGUUGGGAAAUGACGUGGAUGAGAGAGGAUUUGAAGCUGCUUCCUCCGUGCAGCUGGACUGAUGUGAAGCAUUUUGAAGGACGAGAUGACUGGACCUGUGAUGACGUCACCUGAGCAGCUUCAUACUAACAGUUGGAGCUUGCAUGGAACCAGAUGGGCUGAGCGCUGUUGUGAGCAGACAGGUUGCAUUUCAGGACAGACAGUCGCCGCUCCGCUCCGCAGCGCCCCGCUCCGGCCUGCCACUGCACUGCGAAGAGAAGCUGUGUCAACCCGGUGAGCGACCGCCGCUGAAGAGACAACACCGCUGUCUGCACUCAGGUAAGAAAAAACCCAUCAUAUUUCAUUUAUUUGGCCGAUCCAAUCUCAUUGUUUUCACACCGAAACACCACAGCGAGCGGCCGACAUGCGAGCCAAACGCUGCGUCGUAUUUCUCCAUCGGCAUUCACAUUGUCACUUAAUAUUUUUUGCAUGAGGUGGGAGAGGUUGGGCCUCCUCUGUGUAGAAAUAUCAUGCACAUGAAUGAGAUACAUAUUUCUUGCAUCGUGUCAGCAUAGAUCCUCCCGCAGAGGUUUAUUUUGCACGUUUCGUUGUUUUCAAAUCAGACUUUCAUUGUGCGCGAUUUGCAUCUUCUUCGAUCCUCGUCUACAAUAAACUGAGGGGGGGGAAAAAAACGUGUUUUUGUUGCUGCCACCA